rnacentral:rRNA from 1 species
CCUACGGGCGGCAGCAGUGGGGAAUUUUGGACAAUGGGCGCAAGCCUGAUCCAGCUAUUCCGCGUGUGGGAUGACGGCCCUCGGGUUGUAAACCACUUUUGUAGAGAACGAAAAGACACCUUCGAAUAAAGGGUGUUGCUGACGGUACUCUAAGAAUAAGCACCGGCUAACUACGUGCCAGCAGCCGCGGUAAUACGGAGGAUGCGAGCGUUAUCCGGAUUUAUUGGGUUUAAAGGGUGCGCAGGCGGCCUGUUAAGUCAGCGGUAAAAGCCCGGGGCUCAACCCCGGCGAGCCGUUGAAACUGGCGGGCUGGAGUUGGAGAGAAGUACGCGGAAUGCGCGGUGUAGCGGGGAAAUGCUUAGAUAUCGCGCAGAACCCCGAUUGCGAAGGCAGCGUACCGGCUCCACACUGACGCUGAGGCACGAAAGCGUGGGUAUCGAACAGGAUUAGAUACCCUAGUAGUC